rnacentral:rRNA from 1 species
UGCCAGCAGCCGCGGUAAUACGAAAGGUGCGAGCGUUAAUCGGAAUUACUGGGCGUAAAGCGCGCGUAGGUGGUGUGUUAAGUCGGAUGUGAAAGCCCUGGGCUCAACCUGGGAACUGCAUCCGAUACUGGCACGCUAGAGUGCAGUAGAGGGAGGUGGAAUUCCAUGCGUAGCGGUGAAAUGCGUAGAUAUGUGGAGGAAUACCAGUGGCGAAGGCGGCCUCCUGGCUCGACACUGACACUGAGGCGCGAAAGCGUGGGGAGCAAACAGGAUUAGAUA